AAGAGUCUGAGGACCAGGAAGUCUGGGCAUCCCUGCUUAGACUGCUGUCCCCGUGACCCGGUCCCAGAGGAGCCGUAAAUAAUGGAUGCAUGGAUGGAUUCAGGGAUUGAUUAUCGUUUUUGCUUUUCAAGUAUAUUUUGCUGUUCCUAAUAUUUCAUAAGUAUUGCUUGCUCACUUCCCUUGCUACUUCUAUGUGGAGAACUGAAAUCACCCUUCUGUCAUAAAGAUCUUUUCAUGUUUUAGUCUUAGUUCAUUUUCAUCCUUCAAACACAAUGAGAUAUCCAAUACGUGAAGAGAAGGGGAUCUUAGAUGUCUGGACAGACAAACAAAACGGAACAAAAAAUCAGUCUGUGAGGGAGGGAGAGACAGGAAGUGGCUGCACUAUCUGGUAUGAGAGCAAAUAUAUUCUCAUGCUACAAUUGAAGCUCUGGUCAGCUAGCAUGUCUCAAUGACAACUAAAAGUGUCAACAACCACAAACAUCACGUGACUUGAGACAUCUAAUAAAAACUCUCAACCUUGUGAGAGAUGGUAUCCACUUCUGCUGAAGUUACAAGCUUAUCUUCUCUCCCCUUAUGUUUAAAUGUCACUGUGACAAUAACUCCAUUAGCACCUGUCAGGUAAGUUGCUUUAGGAUUUCUUCAGGACGGUCUGGCAGGAUUUAUAUUGAUCUGACUGAAAUGGUUGUGUCAAGAUGUGUUGCUACGUUAAAAAAGACAGACACACAACUUAUCUUUUGGUGAAAAGAUUUUUUUAGUUUCUCAGAAGAAUUAUCAGACAUGAUAAUUCUGUCCUGUUCUUUUAGAGUCUCCAUUUCCGUAGAAGCGCCCACACAACCUGACACCCAGAGACGACCCCACCUCUUCAUACGGAAGUCACUGUCAGAGAGACUUCAGUCAGAUCAGCUACAAACAUCUCAGUGUAGGAACGAUGGAGACCCUGACCCUGAUCUCAGCUUUACUUUCUAUAUUCUGUUGGAUCUCUUCCUCCGUUGGUGAUUUUCGCACCGUCGAGGUUCUGCCUGGUGAAGAAGUCACAAUGCUGUGCUCCAACUUCACCAAUAAGAUCACUCCUCUUGUUUGGUACAGGCUGACCAACAAUGAAUCCAGCAUCAGUUCCAUCUCAGCUAUGUUCAGCUCUGAUAGUGAUGCAACGCUCCAUGCGGGAUUUCAAAAUGGAAGAUUCACAAUGACUUCCAACAACAGUCACAUCUUCCUGAACAUCAAACAAGUGGAUUUAUCAGACGUCGGCCUGUACUUCUGUGGACAUAAAAUAAACAGUGGCAUGGACAUCUUCAAUCACACCUAUUUAAAGAUGCAAGAAACGCUUCCUGAUUCACAGAACUCAACCUACAUGCUCCUGGGAGGUUUGAUCGUUUUCCUGAUCGUGGUCAUCGUUGCCUUGGUUUUCAAAAUCAGAAGCCUUCUCACAGUCUGAUGGCCUGAACUGUGCAGCAGUGAGUUUCCAGCACAGAACAAAAUGUGGACCAAGGCAAACAGCUGAGACAGAGCGGGAGCCACAUGUAGUGUAUGCUGCUACAAGAUAAAGCCAUGAAGCCACCAGAGCAGCAAGUUCAGAGAGGAAAUCUUACCUGUUGUUGGAGGUUUCUCUGUAGUCCUGUCUC